ACUGCCCAAGCCAUCUCUUAAAACUGUCCUAAUGACCCUACCCCACCCCCAAAGACCGCCUUUCUCCUCUCUCUCUCUCUCUCUUUUUUACCCCACCGUUGUCCGCCCUAUUCCACCGCCGAAAAUCGUCUCACGGCGGCGGACAACCCUCAAAUGGCUUCAAAUCUUCACCAAACAAUCUACAUCCCCUCCUCUUUCUAAUACCCAUAGUCUCGUUUAUGAAAUCCCCACAGGUUUAUCCAAUUUUCAGAUUUGAAAUUUCUCAGAAAAUUUAAUUUGCCUAUUCCUCCAUUUUAAGUCUGUUGAUUUCGAAAUCGACAUCCGUAGAUUGCUCUUAAUAAGUGCAAUCAAUUGAUGAUGAUCUCGAAUUAACCGCAUGGCCGUCGGAGUUCCGUCCAACUUCCUUGACCUCUAUUACUGGCUGAUUUGGGUUCCGAGAUGGUGAUAGAAGUGCUGGUGUUUGCUGGAUUUAUUAGCUUGAGCUUCUCCUUCUUUCUCCUUGCCUUUAUUUGACCAUUUGCUGACUGUCUCUUGCUAGUAGGUAUGUAAAGUUCCUUUUGUAACUCUUGUGAAUGUAGAAAUACAGAGUUGAUAUGUUGAUUCCUUGACUACGUCUACUUCUAUAUGUUCCUGAUGUUUGAAUGUGAAAUAUGUUUCAUCUUUGUUUCUUGAUGAUUAUCUGAUUACGUUUGUUUGUUUGAGCUGAACAUUUAAGCUAUGAUUACUCACUAACUGGACUAGUUGCUACUGAUUGUUCACUCACCCUGUUGUAAAAUCACUGUUAGUCAAGCAUUAAUAUUAGCUUAUGAAGUUUUGAAUUGAAUAUGCCUACUGUAGUCGCUUCUUUACACACUUGAGGGUGAAGGUGGAAUCAUGGGUUUCAAUUUGAAGUCAAAAGCAUGCGUAGAUUAUGAGUUAAUGAUUCGAAGCUUAUAUGUCGUAAUAUUGUUUAGGUCCAGAAAAUAGAAUGUGUUUGGUUCAUAGAAAUGUUUGUUAGUAUGAGUGAGAAUUUGAACUAUUUUCCUUUGUUCCUUUCCGUGUUGUAGUGAUUUAGCUUGAGUAUUCAUGUAUUCAUUUUUAAGAAAGUCUGUAGUUAAGUUUGUUACUCCUGAUAUUUGCAAAUUAUAUUGAAAAGCCAUGUUGAUUGACUGGGCUGAACAGUUGGCCCAAAUGGAGCUAUUUACUCAAUUUAGAAUCAAAGGGAGUUUGGAAUCUACAUGUAUUUGGACUCAACGUUAAGCCCAUCUAGGAGCUUUCCCUGUCACAUGAGCAGGCCAACCAUUGCAGAAGGGUAGGGACACCUUGGGCUUCAUUUUGGCCCAUAUGUGCUUCACAAUUUGGACUUGUUUGAAAUUUUAGCAUAGGACUCUAGUUAGGCAACUCAUAAGCUAUUAAUUAAUUAUUAGUCAACCGGUAUGACUAAUCCACUAAUUUACUUUCCUAUGAUAAAGCACAACCAGGUGCUUCACAUUGCCUUCUUUAUCAAACUUAUUCUGUUUCUCUUAAAUCAAACAUUGCAUGUUUCCUUCAUGAAUUGCCACGGUCGGACUUUAACUAGUGUUAUAAUUUCAGUAGCAUCUGUGCACCCAAGCUUGUAGUUUAAUCUUUAUCAAUCAAUGCCAUAAGGAUAGACCCUUUCACU